GUCCUACGGGGCGCAGCAGUGGGGAAUAUUGGGCAAUGGGCGCAAGCCUGACCCAGCAACGCCGCGUGAAGGAAGAAGGCUUUCGGGUUGUAAACUUCUUUUCUCAGGGACGAAGAAAGUGACGGUACCUGAGGAAUAAGCCACGGCUAACUACGUGCCAGCAGCCGCGGUAAUACGUAGGUGGAAAGCGUUAUCCGGAUUUAUUGGGGGUAAAGGGCGUGUAGGCGGGGGCGCAGUUCAGAUGUGAAAACUCAGGGCUAAACCC
rnacentral:rRNA from 1 species